rnacentral:misc_RNA from 1 species
GAUGAAGAACGUAGCGAAAUGCGAUAAGUAAUGUGAAUUGCAGAAUUCAGUGAAUCAUCGAAUCUUUGAACGCACAUUGCGCCCGCCAGUAUUCUGGCGGGCAUGCCUGUUCGAGCGUCAUUACAACCCUCAGGCCCCCGGGCCUGGCGUUGGGGAUCGGCGGAGCCCCCCGUGGGCACACGCCGUCCCCCAAAUGCAGUGGCGGUGCCGCCGCAGCUUCCAUCGCGUAGUAGCUAACACCUCGCGACUGGAGAGCGGCGCGGCCACGCCGUAAAACACCCAACUCUUCUGAAGUUGACCUCGAAUCAGGUAGGAAUACCCGCUGAACUUAAGCAUAUCAAUAAGCGGAGGA